CCCCCCCCCCCCCCCCCCCAAGUCAGUUCGUCGCCACUCGCCGCCAUUAGUCCAUUAUUUUUGUCGCCAUGACGUACGGACGCCGCCGCUUCUCCUGAACGCUCCGGCCGUCUCCCUCCCUCCCUGGUCGGUUUGGAUUUCUUUCGCGGUGAUUGAUUGGAUUUCUAGAUCGGCAGGAGCAGUUCAAUCCCCACUUGAUUUUCGGAUUUGUUUUUGGCGUCUCGCUGCCGUUGUCAUCUGGGUAGGCAGGAGAAGCAAAUGGGCAGAUGGCUUUCCAGCAGGAAAUCCAAGCAGAGGAAAUGGGGGAGCGGCAGCCACCGCCAUGGACAGGGCGACAAGCCCAAGCCUGUGAGGCACCGCGCGUCGCCGGCGAGGCUCAUGAAGCUGUAUCUGCACCUCACCGCCGGGCAGCGCGAGCUCAUAGAGGACGCUGGCUUCGGGGGCCUGCUCAAGCUCCGCUGCCCCGUGCUGCCCGCCAAGCUCUGCACCUGGCUCCUCCGGCGGUUCGACGCCGACUCCGGCGAGCUGGUCAUCCGCGCCGGCGGCCGCCGGGGCCGGAUCCCUGUCACUGCCGACAGCGUGCACCGGGUGCUCAGCAUCCCGAAAGGUGGCCGCGAUGUCGUGUACGGGCUGGACGAGGACAGCAUCAGCUUCGUCUUGGACAAGUAUGGCGUCUCUAGCAUGCCCUCCAUCGUGAGCCUGGAGGAUUCCAUCAAACUGAUGAAGCAGGCCGACGAGCAUUUCCUCCGUACGUUCAUGAUGAUCGCGCUGUCAACGUUCCUUUGCCCCAACAGUGGCCUGAAGGUUAGCCCUCGGUGCUUCCCGUCACUGGUGGACAUCAGCAAAAUUGGGGAGCUGAAUUGGUGCCAGUUCGUGGUGGAGCAGCUCAGGAAGUGUGUUUCUUCUUAUGGCAAGAAGAGGAGUGUAGGGGGCUGCCUUUUCUAUCUUGUGAUUCUGUAUCUUGACUCGCUUGAUACCCGCGACUUGGAGAUACCCAGUGAGACACCACGAGUAUCUGUGUGGAACAGAGAGCUUAUCGAUAAAGUCAUGGCAAUGGACAUGAAGAAUGAUUCCUCUUUUGGGAAAUGUUGUUUGAAAAGGGAAUCCAAAAGAGAUGUCAACUCCAGGGGCACGUCAAGUGUGUCUUUUCUGCUUGGAGACGUCUCAGCGAUAGCAAAUUUUGUGUCAUCAAAUGUCCUACCAGGGUAUUGCCCAAAGAAUAAGGAGGUCUUAUGCAAUGCCACAACCAAUCUUUGUUCAAGUAUCACAGAAGCGCUCUCGAAGUUCAUGCGCGAAGUCUCUGGACUUGAAGGUGGCAGCAAAGAAGCUGGCAAAUAUAGUACCAGAGCUACCACGACAGAAGAUAAUAAUGUGGAUAACGAUGAUGACCUGAUGGAUGUCGACACGCUCCCGGAUGAAAGUUCGGAGCUGGCAACUAAGGACAUGGAAGACGCAUCAGAAGACGAGUGUGAAGAUGAAAGUUCUGAGGAGGGCGAUGCAGAUGAUUCAAGCAGCGCGGACUCUGAAGAUGAUCCUGAUUGGCACUCUAACAGAGUGACACGGAUUCAUUCUCAAAAAAACACAGUGACACGGAAUAGCAACAAGAGCAAAGAGCCUAGAUAUGGAAAAAACAGACCUGGAGAAGUGAUAAGCAAAGGUUCAGGGCAUGAUUCAGACACUCCAGAGGGAGAUGAAAGAAGAAUGAGCCAGUGCGACGAAGAAAAUCCAGAUGUGGAAAAACUAAAAUCAGCCAAUGUUCAUGAGGAUGUGGUGGCACCUACUACCACUAUGUCACAGGCAAGGAGCAGACAACAGAAAAACAGUGAAAAGAGGUGUUCUGUUGAGGACAAGAUGGUGAUUCAGUCUACCACCCUGCUGCAACCCGGACCAUCUGCGAUGAUGUUACAUGAUAAAGGGAGCAUGCAACAGAAAAACAGUGAAAAGAGAUGUUUCGUUGAGGAUAAGAUGGCGAUUCAGCCUGCCAGCCUGCUGCAACCCGAACCAUCUGUGGUGAUGCUAUAUGAUAAAGUGAGCAUGCAACAGAAAAACAGUGAAAAGAGAUGUUUCGUUGAGGAUAAGAUGGCGAUUCAGCCUGCCAGCCUGCUGCAACCCGAACCAUCUGUGGUGAUGCUAUAUGAUAAAGUGAGCAUGCAACAGAAAAACUGUGAAAAGAGGUCUUUCGUUGAGAAUAAGAUGGUGAUCCAGCCCGCCUUCCCGCUGCCAGGAGGGCCAUCUGUGAUGAUGUUAUAUGAUAAAGGGAGCCCCUCAAAAGGAGACAGCAACAUGGACAAGGCUCCCCUUACUGACUUUUUUGAAGGAAGUCCUGUUAUCGAUUUGAGUACUCCGUCAAGUUCAGACAGCGAGUGCACCAUCACAAGGACCGUAGCAAAUCCUUCUUCUGUUAAGGGCCUUAAGAAGUCCUCGUGACUGGCAGCUCAGUGGCUGAAAUGCUGAUGAACAAAUAUGGAGAAAAAGGGCAUCGUCAUUGUCAUCUUCGGUUGCUCCAUUUUCCAGACAAGCAGAUCGUUGCAAAAUAAGACUCACGUACCCAAUAUGCCAUCAAUUAUGAACCUGGGACGGUACUAGAAUUCAGGGAAGUGUAACUGUAGAUUGUAAGCUGACGUUGUAAGCUAUGUACAAUAUGUAUCUAACUGGCGUCUACUAUCUGCAUUAUAAACUGGAGCAGAGUAUGUAUAAUAUAUAUGUAUCCAGGACUUCCUUUGCGUGGUUUCCAGCAUCAUGUGCCCCGACCAGGGCUCCAGCAAUGAAAAAAAUUGAAGAACUAA